rnacentral:misc_RNA from 1 species
AAAAAAAAUUGAAGUCCAGAGUAUUAGGGAGAGCCUUGGCCCCCCAAAACUUCUUCCAAGCUAUCACUUUUUCUUAUUGGCUAACCAAAAUUUAUUGAUACUCUUUUUUUUUGCCAUCCCCUAUUGGCUAACGCUUUGUCUGGUUAUCUACUUGUUUAAGGGAAUAGAAAGAAAUACAAUGAAGGAAAAGAAGAGGAGAGAACAGAAAAGUAAUAUUAAUUUUCCCUCAUG